UACGAACUGUGCGAACGUUAUUCGGAAUCACUGGGCUUACAGGGUGCGUAGGCGGCUUAGCAAGUCAGGUGUGAAAGCCCCCGGCUCAACUGGGGAGGGUCACUCGAUACUGAUCGACUUGAAGGCAGGAGAGGGAAGCGGAAUUCCCGGUGUAGUGGUGAAAUGCGUAGAUAUCGGGAGGAACACCAGUGGCGAAGGCGGCUUCCUGGCCUGUUCUUGACGCUGAGGCGCGAAAGCUAGGGGAGCAAACGGG
rnacentral:rRNA from 1 species